rnacentral:rRNA from 1 species
CCUACGGGAGGCAGCAGUGAGGAAUAUUGGACAAUGGGCGCAAGCCUGAUCCAGCCAUGCCGCGUGCAGGAUGAAGCAUCUAUGGUGUGUAAACUGCUUUUGUACAGGAAGAAACCUCCCGACGUGUCGGGAAUUGACGGUACUGUAAGAAUAAGGAUCGGCUAACUCCGUGCCAGCAGCCGCGGUAAUACGGAGGAUCCAAGCGUUAUCCGGAAUCAUUGGGUUUAAAGGGUCCGUAGGCGGGCCAGUAAGUCAGUGGUGAAAUCUCUCCGCUCAACGGGGAAAUGGCCAUUGAUACUGCUGGUCUUGAAUUAUUAGGAAGUAACUAGAAUAUGUAGUGUAGCGGUGAAAUGCUUAGAGAUUACAUGGAAUACCAAUUGCGAAGGCAGGUUACUACUAAUGGAUUGACGCUGAUGGACGAAAGCGUGGGUAGCGAACAGGAUUAGACUACCCGUGGUACGUCCACGCCGUAAACGAUGGAUACUAGCUGGUUGGGGGCAACUUCAGUGGCUAAGCGAAAGUGAUAAGUAUCCCACCGUGGGGAGUUACGUUCGCGAAGAUGAAACUCGAAAGUAGUAAGUCGCGUGAGAGUACGCGACGACGCACGAGGGAGGGAG